CGUCAUCCCUGUCAAAUUUUGGAAUGACGGUGCAUGGUUUCCCCUCCACAGUGAAAAGAGUCAAUACUCAGCGGUCAUUUCCGUUUUGUAACUAGUUCAAGGAUUACGACAUCCAAAUGAUUUGCUGACAUCGCGAAAGUCCUUUUCAUUUUAUUACACAAGGUCGCAAGUUAUCACCGGUAAUAGUUUUUUGCUUGAGGGAAAAUGCUGUACAGCACAAGCCGGCCAUUUUGGAUUGCAUUUGUGAUGAGGAUGGGGCAGAUUCUUUUUCUUCUUUCUCGAAAGAAACUCAAAUGUGCCAAGAAUCGAACCCUUUCUCCUAAUCCACCAUUAAGGCUGAUGCAACGAAAACGACGAUCUAGUUUUGUCACAGCUGCAAGAGCGUCCGGUCAGUUGUGAGUUGCUUCUUUUCUUUACUUUCUUUUUUCAUGCGUUACACCUGUUUGUUGCAAAGGUUUUGUUUGUGCUACUAUCAACUGAAGUAGCCAUAUGAUGUGUCAAUCACGUAUACGGAGAAAAAAGCUUUAUUUACUAUCGUUUGGGUGAAACCGUUAUUGCAUUAAUUUUACCAUUGAAUUAUGUUAAUGGUUUUAUCUUUCAUUAAUAACUCGUAACUAUUGAGAGUAGUGCACAACAACGUUUUGAUGUUGUAAUGUAUUUUUUGGCUUGCUAGAUUCAAUCAAAAUCAGCGUUUUGUGACUAGACCAUGGUGACUUUUUGACAAGAGUGUACGUUCUUGCAUUAGGACAAUAUUCAUUUGAAGAAUUAGUUUCUCUUUGCAAUUUUCUUUUGGUGACUUUAGUGCUCUCGAUGUAAGUGUCUUGGUGUCCGUGCAUAUGAAACUUCCCAUGUAUAAUAACGUUAUCAGAUCGAUAAGCUAAAAGUCUGGUUGGUUACCAAUUGAACUGUAGACAGUUUGACACGUUGUUCAUCAAAAAUUUCUUUAUUCGAAGCGUCAAUCGGGAAUGAAUAUAGCAACAUGCUGAUUUCAUAUUAUUUGAGAAAAACGCACAGAUAUAGCAGGAAGAGGUGGGUCGUACGAUAUACAUUCAACUCACGUACACCCCAUACCAACAAGGCACAUUCCACAUUAUUGAAAGAAACCACCAGCCCUAUUUGCCACGGAACUACGAACUAAUCAUCAGUGACGCUUUGUGAUGAAGUCAGAAAUUUGCUUCUUUUGCUGCAAGUACUCCAUAACUUCUCAUGGAAUGGCUGAUAACACAAAUGUUGUGUAAAAAUAAAGGAUAUUGUAGCAUCGUUAUAAAUUUCCAACAUCCGGAGUGUACCGCAUGUUCCAUUAACGAUGUCCUACAAGAAUUAAGCUUGUGUAGCUCCAUCGUAAUUAGGGAAAUUGCUGCUGGGAUCCAUUACGCAGGCGUCUCAAAACAAUUGCUGAUUCUUUUGCAAAAGGCGAUAAAACAAUACUGGAUUAACGGCAGCAUUUGCUAUGGCCAGCCAAUAAACGCUCAUGUAAAUCCGUUUCGUCGUGACAUUCUCUUCCGUCUGAAAAGCCUGGUACAUCAAGUACGUCUGAUAGGGUAGCCAGCACAAACAGAAGAUGACCAAUAUCGCCCACAUGCCACCUGCUAAAUUCUUAAACGUAGAUAAAACGACACUUAGCUGGAGAUUAUUUCGCAUUCCAUCGUCCUCGACGGUUAGGACGGUACUUGUUGUUAGUACGACGGCGAUCCGGAAGUUCCAAUAGGCCAUUGACACCGAUGGCAGAAGGAAAAUUGCCUUAAGGACGUUAAAAAGCUUACCCAUCAAGGAUGUAAAUGAAAUUGAAGAUGCCUUCUAAAUAGAGCAUAGCAAAAUCAGCUAUUGUGAGGCUCAACAUGAAGCAACUAUGAGCUUUGGCCAAUCGUCGUCGAGCUUUUUAAAAUUGCCACAACAAGAAGUACACCAAAUGCAAAAAUCCAUGCCGUCUUCUCAUCCGCGUCCAACUGCGACGUAGACACUCCAGUCAUGUUAGAAGCCACUAAAAGCGUCCGACUUCUCAGGAUGUUGUAAACUGGCGUUCAAAAGCUAGAUAUAGCAUCUUGUAAUAGAUCGUAGGCUUUUUACAAGAUUUUCCUUUCCCGGUGCCUAAAGGAAGGUAGCAACGACGGACAUGCGCUAUGAUAAGUUUCCAAAUGAAGGAGAAGUCAGGACAGUUUAGAUGUCAAGGAGUCCGACUGAUAAAGCUUCUGAACACUUCCAUUACAAAGUUAUUCGACAAGACGGGCGAUAUCACGGUGUGGGAAGCAAAGCUAUUAAAGGAUCGUAGAGAAGUCGAUUGCUAUUCACUCCCCAGAGGAAAUCGAGAUGAUUGAACUCUGGCCAAUCAAUCCUCACAGAUGACUGCAAGUUCCCCAGCUGUUUUGACAGCCACUCGAUGUCCUGUCGCAAGCAAAUCCCCAGGACCCCAGAAGAGGUACACUGGAGCUGUCACCAGGCUAAGAUUGUACGAUGGAGGCCGGGAGAUACCAUAGCGGCGUAAAUUCUCGGAAGGACCGUGGUCGUAGGCCCGAAACUGUUCUCCUUCACGUUUACCUGCACCAGACGGAAAGCUCUGGUGCGUGUGGAUCGCAAAAAGAACUGACCGUCUACGUGAGGAGCAAGGGCCUUCACAGGGCUGUUGAAAUGGGCCAUGCUGGCAACAGGUGCCAAGCCAAUCAUCAAAUCGAUUUUAUGGUUCAGUUCCGGCCGACUGGCCGUCGCUAUAUAAAACAUGGCAGCACCCAUUGAAUGACUGCCAUAACAUGAAGCACGUUAAUCCUGUUUACGAUCCAUUGUUGUUAACAACUUGUUACCCGAUAUAUAUAAGCUUGGGUUGCUGAGUCAACUUGAGAAUGAAUUCAAUGUUGGCAGGCACGUCAUACAGCCCCAUUUCGUCGUACCUAAUGCGUUGUUACGAGAAAUUCCAGUAUGCUUCUUUUUUGGGAUCCAGUUGGACGUGUUGUCUCGAAUAUGUGUUUCCUCUUGAAUUUGAAAGGGAUUGACCGGCAGGAUUGGUGAUCCAGUCAACAUCUGUACUCAAUAGCCCAUGUUGGAGCAAUACAGGUCGACCACUGGACAAACCAAUACGAUGCAAUUCCAGAAUGUAUCCAUCUUCUGUUGUGACGUGGUAGACGGUGCAAACAUAGCCACGUGAACGGAUUAUCUCCACCUACAGAACAAAAGUAUUCAGAACCAUUUGAUACAUGCGCAUGUAACUCAUUCGUACCGUUGACAUGGUGGCAUCCGGAUUGCGGACAUUGGUGGCAAUGCAAAGGGUGUGAUGAACCAACGUCAGCACCAGAAUUUCGACGAACAAGACAAGUCGCAUUCCCAACAAAGGACGAAAAGACUGACCCAUCAGCUGAACAGCUAACAGCCAGGUGUAAGGGCCAUUGCACAGCUAAUGAAUGAGAAUGAAGAAGAAAUUGAAUGUAUCCCUACAGCAACCUCUCUAUACCUUUCGAUUUGCCGUUGGGGAUUUCUGAACACGAAUGGCUGUCUGGCUUAAGCUGGAAUACCGUUUUAGAGCACUGUUCGUCAAGCGGGUACGGGCUUAACUUUUUUGUCACGUGUAGAGUCAAAAUUCUAUUAUAGGGUUCAUGACCUUGAUGUGUGUCAGGUUUGAUGAACCCGUUAUUGCCAUAGAGAGACGAGAACGGCUGGCUACCUGCGUCGAAUAAUAUAGUGAUGUCCUGUAGUAAACUACGUACAGGUAAAGCUCCGACCCCAAAUCGUCUUUAUGCUGGAAAUUCGAAUGUCAUGUAAAAAGAAAAGUUUAUUUCUUAGUCUGGGAUUUUGGCUCAGAAGAUUUCCACACAAUAUUAGUGUAAUGUUACACAUUGUCACAUUAAAAUAUUUAUUACAAACAUGUCGAAUGAGGUAGAUUCAAUUGGCCCUGCAAUACGCGUGUUUGCAGCUUCUAUUUGAAGAAAAAGAAAUAAUUGAAACAAUGAAAACAAUAAUAAAUAUUGACUCGAGUAACAUACCAAAAAGAUAAAAUUUAAAGAAUACAUUACUUUUUGAAAUACG
rnacentral:lncRNA from 1 species